rnacentral:lncRNA from 1 species
AAACUAAUAUUUUCUAAAAAAUAAUUACUCUUGGGGCUCAUACACCCACAGAUCAACAGCUGUCAACUUGAUUACCUAAUUGUAGAAAAGACAUCAAUACAGAGCACAUAUGAAAUUCUGCCUGUGUAAUGACGAAUAUUCUUUAACUACACUGUUUACAGUGUAAACUACUGAACUUGCAAACACAAGUUGCAUGGGAGAUAAGCCAAGGUGAUGAAGUCCAAGCAAGAUGAGGAAGCACAGAGACUGUAAACAUCUUAUCUACUAUUAAAGGAAACAUGUGUUGUAAAGAUAUAGGGUCUUGUAUUUUAUUUUGGUAAGAAUAAGUUGUUUUCUUUCUGAUACAGGUGGCAAAUUUACCAAGGAAAACAUCUGCCAGAGAGCAGAGGUAGAACACUUAACAAAACCUUCAUUAUCUGUUGUUCUGCAAAGCAGAAGACUGAAUGCUGGUCUCCUGAAGUUUCUGGCAAAACUAGCUUUUUCAAUGGCUCAGAAAAAGGAUAUCCUGAACUAAUUUAUACUCUUCAUUUGAAACAUUGAUGGCUGGUAUUGAGACUAAAGCAAGGAAGCUGGGAAAACUUGGGGGCUACUGGUGUCUUUGAUAUAUUUCUAGCAAUGCCUUUAAUGAGAAUUUUAAUUCUUUGUGAAUUUGAAAAUAGAAGUGAUAAACCAAGUAAGUAUAAUGAAAACUUGAUAUAAAAAUGAAAAAUUUAAUUCAGA